GUUUGGGGGGUCGGAUUAGCAUGCUAGUUGCACGAGUUCACACUCGUGGCGAAAAGCUCAGUAACACGUGGCCAAACUACCCUACAGAGAACGAUAACCUCGGGAAACUGAGGCUAAUAGUUCAUACGGGAGUCAUGCUUGAAUGCCGACUCCCCGAAACGCUCCGGCGCUGUAGGAUGUGGCUGCGGCCGAUUAGGUAGACGGUGGGGUAACGGCCCACCGUGCCAAUAAUCGGUACGGGUUGUGAGAGCAAGAACCCGGAGACGGAAUCUGAGACAAGAUUCCGGGCCCUACGGGGCGCAGCAGGCGCGAAACCUUUACACUGCACGCAAGUGCGAUAAGGGGACCCCAAGUGCGAGGGCAUAUAGUCCUCGCUUUUCACGACUGUAAGGCGGUCGUGGAAUAAGAGCUGGGCAAGACCGGUGCCAGCCGCCGCGGUAAUACCGGCAGCUCAAGUGAUGACCGAUAUUAUUGGGCCUAAAGCGUCCGUAGCCGGCCACGAAGGUUCAUCGGGAAAUCCGCCAGCUCAACUGGCGGGCGUCCGGUGAAAACCACGUGGCUUGGGACCGGAAGGCUCGAGGGGUACGUCUGGGGUAGGAG
rnacentral:rRNA from 1 species